CUGGCACGCUUGGACUCUCUUUUUUAAUCUUUUUUUCCAAGGGAUUAAUGGCUUGCUGGUAUUUCAGGGUCGUGGUAUACAGCUUAAGGACAUUCCCCAUGGUGCUCCACGGUAAUCAUAUAUCAGGACAAGUUCGUUUAACAAAUACUCCCUCUGUGGAGAUUAAUGGCGAUCACUUGCUUCAAGAGGUUAUUAGAAGCAGAAGACGGACGAGAGGAACUGUCUUGGUAUGUCAAAUCUGGGGACUUCACCUGCAACCAUUGACAUGAAGCUACUUAAGUUGACAUGGAGAAAGUUAGAAGGUUUGGCUGCUAGACUUGGUGGAGCCAAGAACAUAUUCUGUGAACUUUUUUCUGAUAACAAGGCUGAUAACGCCUUUUGGUUGGAUAGUUCCUCAAUUGAGAAAGUCUGUCUUGAA